rnacentral:rRNA from 1 species
GAUGAACGCUGGCGGCGUGCCUAAUACAUGCAAGUCGAGCGAACAGACGAGGAGCUUGCUCCUCUGACGUUAGCGGUGGACGGGUGAGUAACACGUGGAUAACCUACCUAUAAGACUGGGAUAACUUCGGGAAACCGGAGCUAAUACCGGAUAACAUGUUGAACCGCAUGGUUCAACAGUGAAAGACGGUCUUGCUGUCACUUAUAGAUGGAUCCGCGCCGCAUUAGCUAGUUGGAAAGGUAACGGCUUACCAAGGCAACGAUGCGUAGCCGAACUGAGUGGGUGCCCGGGCAGACUGGAACUGAGACACGGUCCUGAGCCCUACAGGAGGCAGCAGUAGGGAAUCGUCUACAAUGUGCGAAAGCCUGACGGAGCAACGCCGCGUGAGUGAAGAAGGUCUUCGGAUCGUAAGACUCUGUUAUUAGAGAAGAACAAAUGUGUAAGUAACUAUGCACGUCUUGACGGUACCUAAUCAGAAAGCCACGGCUAUCUACGUGCCAGCCGCCGCAGUAA